rnacentral:rRNA from 1 species
GCGCAGCAGGCGCGAAAACUUCACACUGUGCGAAAGCACGAUGAGGGAAUCCCAAGUGCUUGCACGUAAGUGUAAGCUGUUCCUCUGUCUAAAACGCAGAGAGAGUAAGGGCUGGGUAAGACGGGUGCCAGCCGCCGCGGUAAUACCUGCAGCUCAAGUGGUGACCGUUAUUAUUGGGCCUAAAACGUCCGUAGCCGGUUUAAUAAAUGCCUGGGUAAAUUGUGUAGCUUAACUAUACGAAUUCCGGGUAGACUGUUAAACUUGAGACCGGGAGAAGUUAGAGGUACUCCUGGGGUAGAGGUGAAAUUCUGUAAUCCUAGGGGGACCACCAGUGGCGAAGGCGUCUAACUAGAACGGGUCUGACGGUGAGGGACGAAGCCCUGGGGCGC